GGAGCUGGAAAGGGUUACCAAUAUGGCCGACUGUGUACGUUUGACUUGGAAUGAAUCGAGGUGAAAACAACCUUGGAACAAUCACCAAGUCGCUUCAGCUAUCGGUGCACUAAGAAGCCGAUUAUUAUUGCUUAUAGUAUUACAAUCUAGUCUGAUAAUAAACUAAUAUGGCAAGCAGUCCACUAGAGAACCGUAACAGUCUAGCAAGUUUUGAGAAGUGUGUGUUGUGCGGCUGCAGUAAAGAGCAAUAUGAGGAACUCAAGAAACGGGUAGAAGACAGUAAAAAACGAAUCACAAUGAUGGAGACGGAUUAUCUGCAAAGCACGUUACGAGCAGAAAACGACUUGGCUAAAUGUAAAGAAGAAUUGAGAGUAUUGAGAGAACGACACAAAAG